rnacentral:rRNA from 1 species
UACGUAGGGACCGAGCGUUGUCCGGAAUCAUUGGGCGUAAAGAGCGUGUAGGCGGCCACUUAAGUCCUGCGUGAAAUCCUGCGGCUCAACCGCAGGCGGUCGUGGGAAACUGGGUGGCUAGAGUGCGGGAGAGGAGAGUGGAAUUCCUGGUGUAGCGGUGGAAUGCGCAGAUAUCAGGAGGAACACCGGUGGCGAAGGCGGGUCUGCUGGGCCGUAACUGACGCUGAGGAAGCGGAAAGCAUGGGGAGCGAACAGG